rnacentral:rRNA from 1 species
AUUGAACGCUGGCGGCAUGCUUUACACAUGCAAGUCGAACGGCAGCACAGCAGAGGUAACUCUGUGGGUGGCGAGUGGCGAACGGGUGAGUAAUACAUCGGAACGUACCCUGUUGUGGGGGAUAACUACGCGAAAGCGUAGCUAAUACCGCAUACGCCCUGAGGGGGAAAGCGGGGGACCCUAAAUAGAGCGCACUGGGGAGUGCGUUGUAUUUAGGGCCUCGCGCAAUAGGAGCGGCCGAUGUCGGAUUAGCUAGUUGGUGAGGUAAAGGCCUACCAAGGCGACGAUCCGUAGCGGGUCUGAGAGGACGGCCCGCCACACUGGGACUGAGACACGGCCCAGACUCCUACGGGAGGCAGCAGUGGGAAUUUUGGACAAUGGGGCAACCCUGAUCCAGCCAUGCCGCGUGAGUGAAGAAGGCC